GUUUUCUACACAUGCGAAAAGAACGGAGUACAUUGUUGUAGCAAUACAGUGGUGUACUUUUUCCCGGACGGGUGAGUAACACGUAGGUAACCUUCCCCUAAGCGGGGGGCAACUCAGGGAAACUUGAGCUAAUACCCCAUAAGACCACGGGCUGGGAUGUCUGUGGUAAAAGGAGCAAUCCGCUUAAGGACGGGCCUGCGGCCUAUCAGGUAGUUGGUGGGGUAAUGGCCCACCAAGCCAGAGACGGGUAGCCGGACUGAGAGGUCGAACGGCCACACUGGAACUGAGACACGGUCCAGACUCCUACGGGAGGCAGCAGUGGG
rnacentral:sRNA from 1 species